GCUGCUAAUUGCCAAUAUCUCACUGGUAGGAAUCUGCUAAUUGCCAAUAUCUCACCGGUAGGAAUCUGCUAAUUCCCAAUGUCAGACCGGGGGGGGGGGUGAGGAUAAUAAAUGGAAUGAUUAUGAUUCUCAUAAUAAAUAUUUGGCAAUAUAGUAUGCUACACCUCGACGGCAAUAUCUGACCGGUAGGAAUCGGGCCGAAGGAAUCUGCUAAUUCCCAAUAUCUGACCAGUAGGAAUCCCCUAAGUCCUAAUAUCUGACCGGUAGGAAUCCGCUCAUCCAUAGGGGGGGUGCGGAUAAUAAAUGGAAUGACCCAUCCACAUCGCUGCCGUCGAACGAUGAGCACAACAUAUUAAUUGUCAACAUAUGGCGUUAUUCAAGCGUGUCCUGUUCAUAGCGAUCGAUAUCAUUGUGUUACGACUGCUUGUUAUGAAUUGCAUUAUAAAACGCGUCAAUGAUCUACAUGAUAUUUAAUCAGGUAAAAUACAUACAUAUUUCCAUUUCACAGAAUGACAUAUUAUUAAGAACGUCAACAUCGUCGAAAUCCUCGAUUUUCCCCUCUGUUCGUCGCUGCUUUCGGCCAUGACUGCCCUGAAGUAUCACAAAUACUCUACCAUACACGGGACAAUAGUUUUGGGAUAGGAUGGUUCAUAUUUCACGAAGAUUUUUAAGGAUUGAAAACCGAUACCCGGGAAACGUCACUUAUGCCCAGGAACCGACUAUUAUUCAGCAGGCCUUUCGUCGCCUUCCGUUCUUCCUUGAUCUCAAAUUUCACGCCCGCAAAUUAUUCCCGCCCGCAUCGAAAGGCCUGCGGAG